UUUUCUGUUGCGCCAAGGGCAUA
rnacentral:miRNA from 3 species